GGUUCAUGCAGGAGUCUCGCAGCCUUACACACAUUAAAAUUUCGAACUUUACAUUCUAUUUUUUCUCUCUAAAUCUUGAGCUCUCCAUUCUUCUCCCAAGCAAGGCUCCUUGGACAUUUAGUUUUUGUCUCCUUUGACCCUUGUUGAACUACUUCAACAACAUAUUUGGCCUCCUUGAGGACUGAUGGUUGCUUAUGUGGAUUAUAUAAUUUAAAGAUAUCAUGUGCCCUCUACUCUCAC
rnacentral:lncRNA from 1 species